AUUGAACGCUGGCGGCAGGCUUAACACAUGCAAGUCGAGCGAGCGGCGGACGGGUGAGUAAUGUCUGGGAAACUGCCUGAUGGAGGGAGAUAACUACGGGAAAAGGUAGCUAAUACCGCAUACACUAACAUGUGCCCAGAUGGGAGUAGCGAGGAGGUGGGGUAAUGGCGCACCUAGUCGACGAUCCCUAGCUGGUCUGAGAGGAUGAACAGCCACACGGGAACUGAGAGACGGUCCAUACGCCUAUGGUAUGCAGCAGGUGGGAAUAUUUCACAAUGGGCGCAGUCCUGAUGCCGCCAUGCCGCGUGUGGUAAGAAGGCCUUCGGGUUGUAAAGCACUUUCAUCUAGGAGGCGUUACUCGCAGAAGAAGCACCGGCUAACUCCGUGCCAGCCGCCGCGGUAAUAC
rnacentral:rRNA from 1 species